AGUCUGCUCCUGGCAAAGAGCUGUUGCUUGUGGGCACAUCAAGGUUGCAGAAAGCAUCCCAAAGAAUGAAAAGGCGUGACUUCCAGAGCCCCGGGCUUCCACGUGCGAUCUUCUUUGAACACACUCCUGCUUUCCACGGCGGUGAUGGGCUCCAUCUGUAGCCAUCACCUUUCUUGAGGCAGGUAGAGGAAAAGCAGCCUGAUAUUGUUUGAAGCGGGGGAAGCUUUUCCCGUCAGACACUGUCGGCUGUGACACCC
ensembl:snoRNA